AUAUCAGUCAUGCAUAGCAUAUCAAUAAGCGGAGGAAAAGAAACUAACAAGGAUUCCCUUAGUAACGGCGAGUGAAGCGGGAAGAGCUCAAAUUUGAAAUCUUCAAGGUUUUACCUUGACGAAUUGUAGUUUAAAGAAGUGUUUUCUGUUGAAGUUUUGGUAAAAGUUCUUUGGAAUAGGACAUCAUAGAGGGUGAGAAUCCCGUAUUUGACCAUUACUUUCAGCUUUGUGAUACACUUUCAAAGAGUCGGAUUGUUUGGGAAUGCAGUCCAAAAUGGGUGGUAAAUUUCAUCUAAAGCUAAAUAUUGGCGAGAGACUGAUAGCGAACAAGUACCGUGAGGGAAAGAUGAAAAGAACUUUGAAAAGAGAGUUAAACAGUACGUGAAAUUGUCAAAAGGGAAGCGUUUGACACCAGUGUUGUUUUCUCGAAAAUCAAUUAAAAAGAGUUGGAUUUUGUGUUGUAUUGACUUUAUCAGCUUUCUUCACUCUUUUCCAGCUUUUUUUAAUGCACUUUUCGUUUAACAAGUCAACAUCAGUUUCUUUUGUUGUAAAAAGGUCAUUGGAAGGUGGCUUCUCUUCGGAGAAAGUGUUUAUAGCCUUUGACUCAUGCAAUCGGAGAGACUGAGGUCUGCAGCGUAGAUCCUUCGGGGUUAGAUACAUUUGUGCUAAGUUAUAGCUUUUCAUAGACAACUUGUUGACUAUGUUUAGUCUUGUAGCUUACUCGCUUAUGCUAUUUUACCUACGCUUAGGAUGUUGAACUCUAUCACACACA
rnacentral:rRNA from 1 species